rnacentral:rRNA from 1 species
CCUACGGGGCGCAGCAGUGAGGAAUAUUGGUCAAUGGGCGCGAGCCUGAACCAGCCAAGUCGCGUGAGGGAAGACGGUCCUAUGGAUUGUAAACCUCUUUUGUCGGGGAGCAAAAGAUGCCACGCGUGGCGUUCCGAGAGUACCCGAAGAAAAAGCAUCGGCUAACUCCGUGCCAGCAGCCGCGGUAAUACGGAGGAUGCGAGCGUUAUCCGGAUUUAUUGGGUUUAAAGGGUGCGUAGGUGGUUAAUUAAGUCAGCGGUGAAAGUUUGUGGCUCAACCAUAAAAUUGCCGUUGAAACUGGUUGA